GUUAGUGUAAACUGUCUGUGGUUAAGGUAUUGCACUCAAGAUGCAAUAACCACAGGCUCUUGUGGGUUCAAAUCCCACUUUUGGUA
rnacentral:tRNA from 1 species